GAGCAGAUCUGACUGCGUGUGUUAGGGCACGAGCACACCGAUCAAAUGAAAGCAUCCCUUCGGGAGAGCGCCGUGCUCGUCCACCACCCCCAGUUCAUGCAAUAUCAUGGCCAUCCUUAAAGAAAAAAUAAUAAAAAAUAGGAAGGCAGGGUUGGAACUGGAUGAGCAUUAAGGACCCUUCCGACCCAAACUGCUCUGUGAUGAUGUGAACUGUGAACCUCAGCUGUAAUGCAACCGUUUGAGCGUAACAGUUAGGCUCUGUUGGAUAUGACCCAGGAUUGUAAUGGAUGUGAGUUUAUUAGCAAGCUUAAACAACAACAGCAAAACCAGAAAGGAGUCCCUUUUAUUUUAUUUUUGAUGUCAUUUGAAAAGUCAUGGACAGAUUCUUAUGAAGCAUGGUGUGCUGUUUGUUCAGUUCAUAGUUCUGUACAGUCAGUGUGACACGUGCUCUGUAGGGGCUUUUCUCUACAGAGAAGGAAAAUAAGAAAGAAUAGGCUGCUUAUAAAGGAUAAGCAGGGAACUUUGGGUUAUCUGUUCUGGGGCUUUUAUUUCUAACCUUGAGAAAAUCAGUUGUUUUUUACUCUUCUCAUGCAAGCAAUAGAAGGUAGAAAGAGCUGCCUCUAAGUUAAAAUGCAGUGCAAUUGCAUUGUUCUCUCUUAGUGAAGGUACACUGGGGGAGUGGAGGUGUUGUUACCUUUCUUGGAAAGUAAUGAUUUCAUUGUAGAACCCCAUAUGUUACUGUAGCCAGGUACUUCUUCUGUACAUUGACUUGUUUCCAUUUUUCUAUGUCUGUAUUGUGAUAUGUUGCCUUGGUAUUGCAGUAGCUGCUUUCUUGCUUCCAAGCUGUAGGUGUAGUUGAAACUGAUGUGCAUAUGUACUCUUUAGAGUUCUGAUCUCUUUUAGACACUUUCCUAAUAUGUUCCAGGUAUGUUUUCUAACAGCAAGGAUUUGAAUGGUUUUGGAAUACAUGCUGCUAUUUCUGAUGAACUAUGUCAGAGUUAUAUGAAGAAAUGCUGUUGUUUAGUAAUAAAUACCCACAAAUGCAAAUGUUGUUUCCUUCUACAAAGCUUGGUGUCAGGUAGCUGGCCUCAAAAUGUCAAAAUAAAGUAUAGUAUGACACUUAUCUUCAUUAAUUGUAUGCCUGGUGUAACAUACUAAGCCUUUCUCUGAACUAACACGUCCGAUUAUUUUAAAUCGGUGAAUGACUCACCACCCUUAAAAAUAGUCAGUUUGCCAUAUGCCGGCUUCAGAUUUUCACCUAAAGGAUCUAUCAGCUUCCUCUUCUGUUCACCAGUGCCUUGUGGACCGCACCUCACAAACUGCUGGCUUAAAAAACACACCAGUAACAGGAAACCGGAACAACAGAGUGAGCACACAGUCAGGCUGACAGAAGCCUGCAGGCAGCCAGUGCUCAGACAGGAUCCCAGACAUGGUGAUGCUGAGAGGUGACUGUUGUCCAAGUAGCCGGUGUGUCUUCUGUCUGCUGUGGCAGAGAUGACAAAGGUGAGGAUGCAGAUUGAUUUGUAGCAAAAGGAAGGCUGUUUGCCCAUUCCAACAACCUAUCGUAGAGUCAUUAGGACUGGAAAAGACCUCUGAGAUCAUCUAGUCAACCACCGACCCAUCCCCACUAUGCCCACUAACCACGUCCCUCAGUACCACAUCCACACGGUUUGAACACCUCCAGUGAUGGUGACUCCACCACCUCCCUGAGCAGCCUGUGCCACUGCCUGAGGUAUUUAUAGGGCUUGAAAAUCCUGCCAAGCCCACCACAACUGCUCGCAGGUAGAGAUGCCAACAGGACCUGUCCCUCACCUUUUGGUCUUGACAUGAGCAAAUACAAAGUUGGGUGAAGCUGUGAGGGUGCUCUGCAGCAAAAGAACCUCUGAUAUUGGCAGCAGCAAGGAGUCUCCCUUCUGUGGCUGAGUAGCAUCAGGGAUCUUGCGCUCCCCCCUUCUUCAGGCUGUGUUGUAAGGGGGGUGGCUGCUGGUGGGGGCUGGAAUGGGGGUAUCACCUGAGUGAGGGUGAUGACCCACUGAUUCCAUUCCUCUGGAACAGAUAAAAAAAAAAAUUAGUGCUUGUUCCAUUUUGUUAUGUGAAGGUUGCAUACCAGGAACAGUCAUGUAUUGUUUGACCAAACUGGGGGAUGUGAGUGGGGUUCUUAAUGUAGCUUAUUACUUGUAAAUUAAAAAAAAA